rnacentral:rRNA from 1 species
UACGUAGGGUGCAAGCGUUAAUCGGAAUUACUGGGCGUAAAGCGUGCGCAGGCGGCUUUACAAGACAGAUGUGAAAUCCCCGGGCUUAACCUGGGAACUGCAUUUGUGACUGCAUGGCUGGAGUGCGGCAGAGGGGGAUGGAAUUCCGCGUGUAGCAGUGAAAUGCGUAGAUAUGCGGAGGAACACCAAUGGCGAAGGCAAUCCCCUGGGCCUGCACUGACGCUCAUGCACGAAAGCGUGGGGAGCAAACAGG